UGCACCAUGCGCGUGUGUGAGAGCUUCGGGUUGUAAGCACUUUNNUUGUGAGGAAGUUAUGUAGUUAAUACCUGCAUGAUGUGACGUUACACAGAAGAGCACCGGCUACUCCGUGCCASASCGGGUAAUACGAGGUCGAGCGUUAAUCGGAUUACUGGCGUAACGGCSACGAGGCGGUCUGUUAAGCUAGAUGUGAAGCCCGCGCUMACGUGGGAGGUCAUUUAGAACUGCAGACUAGAGUCUUGGAGAGGGGAGUGGAUUCCAGUGUAGCGGUGAAAUGCGUAGAGAUCUGGAGGAACAUCAAUGGCGAAGGMACUCCCUGGCCAAAGACUGACGCUCAUGUGCGAAAGUGUGGUAGCGAACAGGAUUAGAUACCCUGGUAGUCCACACCGUAAACGCUGUCUACUAGCUGUUGUGGMUUUAAUSCGUGAGUAGCGAGUGAACGCGAUAAGAGACC
rnacentral:rRNA from 1 species